rnacentral:rRNA from 1 species
GAUGAACGCUGGCGGCGUGCUUAACACAUGCAAGUCGAACGGAAAGGCCCAAGCUUGCUUGGGUACUCGAGUGGCGAACGGGUGAGUAACACGUGGGUGAUCUGCCCUGCACUUCGGGAUAAGCCUGGGAAACUGGGUCUAAUACCGGAUAGGACGAUGGUUUGGAUGCUAUUGUGGAGAGUUUUUUCGGUGUGGGAUGAGCUCGCGGCCUAUCAGCUUGUUGGUGGGGUAAUGGCCUACCAAGGCGUCGGCGGGUGGCCGGCCUGAGAGGGGGUACGGCGACAUUGGGACUGAGAUACGGCCCAGACUCCUACGGGAGGCAGCAGUGGGGAAUAUUGCACAAUGGGCGCAAGCCUGAUGCAGCAACGCCGCGUGGGGGGUGAGGGCCUUCGGGUUGUAAGCUGCUUUCGCUAGGGACGAAGCGUUUUUGUGACGGUACCUGGAGAAGAAGCACCGGCUAACUACGUG